rnacentral:rRNA from 1 species
AAUGAACGUUGGCGGCGUGGAUUAGGCAUGCAAGUCGAGCGAGAACCCGCAAGGGGGACAGCGGCAAACGGGGUAGUAACGGGUAGGUGACGUACCCUCGGGUCGGGGAUAGCCACGGGAAACUGUGGGUAAUACCCGAUAACCUCUUCGAGCGUGAUAGCUUGGAGAGCAAAGGUGUGAUUCCACCGGAGGAGCGGCCUGCCUCGUAUUAGCUGGUUGGUGAGGUAACGGCUCACCAAGGCGACGAUGCGUAGGGGGUGUGAGAGCAUGACCCCCACCACUGGGACUGAGAUACUGCCCAGACACCUACGGGUGGCUGCAGUCGAGAAUCUUCGGCAAUGGGCGCAAGCCUGACCGAGCGACGCCGCGUGUGGGAUGAAGGCCCUUGGGUUGUAAACCACUGUCAGAGGGGAUGAAGUGCCAGAGGGCAAUCUCUCUGGUUUGACAUAGCCUCAGAGGAAGCACGGGCUAAGUUCGUGC